rnacentral:rRNA from 1 species
GCCUGUAAGACUGGGAUAACUCCGGGAAACCGGAGCUAAUACCGGAUAGUUCCUUGAACCGCAUGGUUCAAGGAUGAAAGACGGUUUCGGCUGUCACUUACAGAUGGACCCGCGGCGCAUUAGCUAGUUGGUGGGGUAAUGGCUCACCAAGGCGACGAUGCGUAGCCGACCUGAGAGGGUGAUCGGCCACACUGGGACUGAGACACGGCCCAGACUCCUACGGGAGGCAGCAGUAGGGAAUCUUCCGCAAUGGACGAAAGUCUGACGGAGCAACGCCGCGUGAGUGAUGAAGGUUUUCGGAUCGUAAAGCUCUGUUGUUAGGGAAGAACAAGUGCGAGAGUAACUGCUCGCACCUUGACGGUACCUAACCAGAAAGCCACGGCUAACUACGUGCCAGCAGCCGCGGUAAUACGUAGGUGGCAAGCGUUGUCCGGAAUUAUUGGGCGUAAAGGGCUCGCAGGCGGUUUCUUAAGUCUGAUGUGAAAGCCCCCGGCUCAACCGGGGAGGGUCAUUGGAAACUGGGAAACUUGAGUGCAGAAGAGGAGAGUGGAAUUCCACGUGUAGCGGUGAAAUGCGUAGAGAUGUGGAGGAACACCAGUGGCGAAGGCGACUCUCUGGUCUGUAACUGACGCUGAGGAGCGAAAGCGUGGGGAGCGAACAGGAUUAGAUACCCUGGUAGUCCACGCCGUAAACGAUGAGUGCUAAGUGUUAGGGGGUUUCCGCCCCUUAGUGCUGCAGCUAACGCAUUAAGCACUCCGCCUGGGGAGUACGGUCGCAAGACUGAAACUCAAAGGAAUUGACGGGGGCCCGCACAAGCGGUGGAGCAUGUGGUUUAAUUCGAAGCAACGCGAAGAACCUUACCAGGUCUUGACAUCCUCUGACAACCCUAGAGAUAGGGCUUUCCCUUCGGGGACAGAGUGACAGGUGGUGCAUGGUUGUCGUCAGCUCGUGUCGUGAGAUGUUGGGUUAAGUCCCGCAACGAGCGCAACCCUUGAUCUUAGUUGCCAGCAUUCAGUUGGGCACUCUAAGGUGACUGCCGGUGACAAAACCGGAGGAAGGUGGGGA